GAGUUUGAUUCUGGCUCAGGAUGAACGCUGGCGGUAUGCCUUAUACAUGCAAGUCGUACGAGAGUUUUUAGCUCAAGUGGCGGACGGGUGAGUAACACGUAAGAAUUUGCCUUUAGGAGGGGGACAACAACUGGAAACGGUUGCUAAUACCCCAUAUGCUUUCGAGUGAAACGGUUUUUCCGCCUAAAGAGAAGCUUGCGGCUGAUUAGCUUGUUGGUAGAGUAAUAGCCUACCAAGGCGACGAUCAGUAUCUGGUUUGAGAGGACGAUCAGACACACUGGAACUGAGACACGGUCCAGACUCCUACGGGAGGCAGCAGUAGGGAAUUUUCCGCAAUGGGCGAAAGCCUGACGGAGCAAUACCGCGUGAGGGAUGACUGCCUAUGGGUUGUAAACCUCUUUUUUCAGGGAGGAAUAAAUGACGUGUACCUGAAGAAUAAGCAUCGGCUAACUCCGUGCCAGCAGCCGCGGUAAGACGGAGGAUGCAAGUGUUAUCCGGAAUCACUGGGCGUAAAGCGUCUGUAGGUGGUCAAAUAAGUCAACUGUUAAAUCUUGGGGCUCAACCUCAAAAUCGCAGUCGAAACUAUUAGGCUAGAGUAUAGUAGAGGUAAAGGGAAUUUCCAGUGGAGCGGUGAAAUGCGUAGAGAUUGGAAAGAACACCGAUGGCGAAGGCACUUUACUGGGCUAUUACUGACACUCAGAGACGAAAGCUAGGGUAGCAAAUGGGAUUAGAUACCCCAGUAGUCCUAGCCGUAAACAAUGGAUACUAGGUGUUGAACAGAUCGAUCUGUGCAGUACUAAAGCUAACGCGUUAAGUAUCCCGCCUGGGAAGUAUGCACGCAAGUGUGAAACUCAAAGGAAUUGACGGGGGCCCGCACAAGCGGUGGAGCAUGUGGUUUAAUUCGAUGCAACGCGAAGAACCUUACCAGGGUUUGACAUGAUACGAAUUUCUUUGAAAAAAGAAAGUGCCUUUUGGAACGU
rnacentral:rRNA from 1 species